UUAAGUUAUUAAGGGCGCACGGUGGAUGCCUUGGCACUAGAAGCCGAUGAAGGACGUUACUAACGACGAUAUGCUUUGGGGAGCUGUAAGUAAGCUUUGAUCCAGAGAUUUCCGAAUGGGGAAACCCAGCAUGAGUUAUGUCAUGUUAUCGAUAUGUGAAUACAUAGCAUAUCAGAAGGCACACCCGGAGAACUGAAACAUCUUAGUACCCGGAGGAAGAGAAAGAAAAUUCGAUUCCCUUAGUAGCGGCGAGCGAAACGGGAAGAGCCCAAACCAAAAAGCUUGCUUGUUGGGGUUGUAGGACACUCUAUACGGAGUUACAAAGGACGACAUUAGACGAAUCAUCUGGAAAGAUGAAUCAAAGAAGGUAAUAAUCCUGUAGUCGAAAAUGUUGUCUCUCUUGAGUGGAUCCUGAGUACGACGGAGCACGUGAAAUUCCGUCGGAAUCUGGGAGGACCAUCUCCUAAGGCUAAAUACUCUCUAGUGACCGAUAGUGAACCAGUACCGUGAGGUAAAGGUGAAAAGCACCCCGGAAGGGGAGUGAAAUAGAACCUGAAACCGUGUGCUUACAAGUAGUCAGAGCCCGUUAAUGGGUGAUGGCGUGCCUUUUGUAGAAUGAACCGGCGAGUUACGAUUUGAUGCAAGGUUAAGCAGUAAAUGUGGAGCCGUAGCGAAAGCGAGUCUGAAUAGGGCGUUUAGUAUUUGGUCGUAGACCCGAAACCAGGUGAUCUACCCUUGGUCAGGUUGAAGUUCAGGUAACACUGAAUGGAGGACCGAACCGACUUACGUUGAAAAGUGAGCGGAUGAACUGAGGGUAGCGGAGAAAUUCCAAUCGAACCUGGAGAUAGCUGGUUCUCUCCGAAAUAGCUUUAGGGCUAGCCUCAAGUGAUGAUUAUUGGAGGUAGAGCACUGUUUGGACGAGGGGCCCCUCUCGGGUUACCGAAUUCAGACAAACUCCGAAUGCCAAUUAAUUUAACUUGGGAGUCAGAACAUGGGUGAUAAGGUCCGUGUUCGAAAGGGAAACAGCCCAGACCACCAGCUAAGGUCCCAAAAUAUAUGUUAAGUGGAAAAGGAUGUGGCGUUGCCCAGACAACUAGGAUGUUGGCUUAGAAGCAGCCAUCAUUUAAAGAGUGCGUAAUAGCUCACUAGUCGAGUGACACUGCGCCGAAAAUGUACCGGGGCUAAACAUAUUACCGAAGCUGUGGAUUGUCCUUUGGACAAUGGUAGGAGAGCGUUCUAAGGGCGUUGAAGCAUGAUCGUAAGGACAUGUGGAGCGCUUAGAAGUGAGAAUGCCGGUGUGAGUAGCGAAAGACGGGUGAGAAUCCCGUCCACCGAUUGACUAAGGUUUCCAGAGGAAGGCUCGUCCGCUCUGGGUUAGUCGGGUCCUAAGCUGAGGCCGACAGGCGUAGGCGAUGGAUAACAGGUUGAUAUUCCUGUACCACCUAUAAUCGUUUUAAUCGAUGGGGGGACGCAGUAGGAUAGGCGAAGCGUGCGAUUGGAUUGCACGUCUAAGCAGUAAGGCUGAGUAUUAGGCAAAUCCGGUACUCGUUAAGGCUGAGCUGUGAUGGGGAGAAGACAUUGAGUCUUCGAGUCGUUGAUUUCACACUGCCGAGAAAAGCCUCUAGAUAGAAAAUAGGUGCCCGUACCGCAAACCGACACAGGUAGUCAAGAUGAGAAUUCUAAGGUGAGCGAGCGAACUCUCGUUAAGGAACUCGGCAAAAUGACCCCGUAACUUCGGGAGAAGGGGUGCUCUUUAGGGUUAACGCCCAGAAGAGCCGCAGUGAAUAGGCCCAAGCGACUGUUUAUCAAAAACACAGGUCUCUGCUAAACCGUAAGGUGAUGUAUAGGGGCUGACGCCUGCCCGGUGCUGGAAGGUUAAGAGGAGUGGUUAGCUUCUGCGAAGCUACGAAUCGAAGCCCCAGUAAACGGCGGCCGUAACUAUAACGGUCCUAAGGUAGCGAAAUUCCUUGUCGGGUAAGUUCCGACCCGCACGAAAGGCGUAACGAUUUGGGCACUGUCUCAACGAGAGACUCGGUGAAAUCAUAGUACCUGUGAAGAUGCAGGUUACCCGCGACAGGACGGAAAGACCCCGUGGAGCUUUACUGUAGCCUGAUAUUGAAAUUCGGCACAGCUUGUACAGGAUAGGUAGGAGCCUUUGAAACGUGAGCGCUAGCUUACGUGGAGGCGCUGGUGGGAUACUACCCUAGCUGUGUUGGCUUUCUAACCCGCACCACUUAUCGUGGUGGGAGACAGUGUCAGGCGGGCAGUUUGACUGGGGCGGUCGCCUCCUAAAAGGUAACGGAGGCGCUCAAAGGUUCCCUCAGAAUGGUUGGAAAUCAUUCAUAGAGUGUAAAGGCAUAAGGGAGCUUGACUGCGAGACCUACAAGUCGAGCAGGGUCGAAAGACGGACUUAGUGAUCCGGUGGUUCCGCAUGGAAGGGCCAUCGCUCAACGGAUAAAAGCUACCCCGGGGAUAACAGGCUUAUCUCCCCCAAGAGUUCACAUCGACGGGGAGGUUUGGCACCUCGAUGUCGGCUCAUCGCAUCCUGGGGCUGUAGUCGGUCCCAAGGGUUGGGCUGUUCGCCCAUUAAAGCGGUACGCGAGCUGGGUUCAGAACGUCGUGAGACAGUUCGGUCCCUAUCCGUCGUGGGCGUAGGAAAUUUGAGAGGAGCUGUCCUUAGUACGAGAGGACCGGGAUGGACAUACCUCUGGUGUACCAGUUGUCGUGCCAACGGCAUAGCUGGGUAGCUAUGUGUGGACGGGAUAAGUGCUGAAAGCAUCUAAGCAUGAAGCCCCCCUCAAGAUGAGAUUUCCCAACUUCGGUUAUAAGAUCCCUCAAAGAUGAUGAGGUUAAUAGGUUCGAGGUGGAAGCAUGGUGACAUGUGGAGCUGACGAAUACUAAUCGAUCGAAGACUUAAUCAA
rnacentral:rRNA from 1 species